CCUACGGGUGGCAGCAGUAGGGAAUCUUCCACAAUGGGCGAAAGCCUGAUGCAGCAACGCCGCGUGGGUGAAGAAGGCCUUCGGAUUGUAAAAUCCUUUCGUCAGAGAGGAAAGUGGUUGAGUGUAUCCCUUUUCGCUUUGACGUUACCUACCCAGAAAGCCCCGGCUAACUACGUGCCAGCAGCCGCGGUAAUACGUAGGGGGCAAGCGUUAUCCGGAAUUAUUGGGCGUAAAGGGAACGCAGGCGGUGUGUUAAGUCUGAUGUGAAAUCCCUGGGCUUAACCGGUGCAGUGCAUUGGAUACUGGGAGGCUUGAGUGCAGAAGAGGGGAGUGGAACUCCAGGUGUAGCGGUGAAAUGCGUAGAGAUAUGGAGGAACACCGGUGGCGAAGGCGGCCCUCUGGACGGUGACUGACGCUGAGGUUCGAAAGCGUGGGUAGCAAACAGGAUUAGAUACCCGAGUAGUC
rnacentral:rRNA from 1 species